GCCUCGCGUCGCCUCUCGCCCGGGAGGAGUCGCCGCGGCGGGAGGCAGCUCCGCACGCGCUUCCCGCGGGGCCCCCGCACCGCUCUGCCGGGCGCCGGGCCACGCCGGGGGGCUUUUUCUCGCCUUUCUGCGGCUGUGACGCCCCUCUAAAGGGCACUGAUCUCCGCGCCCCUUGCCGGGGCCUUCUGCGGUCUUUCUCCGGCCCAUUAUGUCAUCGGGGCGCUCGGGGCACGGCCGGGCGAGGGGGUGGCUCCCUGCCCUUCUGGGAAGGGGGCAGCUGGGCCUCCCAGAACUUGGUGUUGGUGUCCGAGGAUGUUUUGGUCUGCGUGAAAACUAGGACGGUGAGAAUUGAUAGAAUCUUCCUGUUAACUGAAGGCUGCAGUCAUGUCUCGUUUGAACUCCAGUCUCCUUUCCAGCCAGUAACCGAGCCAGAUGCUUUCCUUAUUGUUUGCUAGAGAACAGUCAAAAUUAUGGCCCAGCUCAACUUUGCAACUGGAAACAGAACGCAGCUAGAGGAGUUUCCCUCUGGUGCUGGGUGCAGAACAAAAUCUAUCCUCUGCUGCUGCUUAUGUGCUUGCAGGCCAAAAAUCUAUGGCAAAUACCGCUCUGCUGUGGAAUACAGAGAUGAAACAUCCUGUGAAUAGUGCGAAAGAUUCCUCUCUUUCGGUUGACUCAAAUGCUUAAUGAAGGAACAGUUUGCAGGAGGCCAUUUUUGACGUGACUAUGUAUUGUGGAAUCUGCCAGCUCCUAUCCACACUCUGUCUACUUGAGUGCAAUAGCUUCCUUUUUUAAGGAAGAAUAAGUGCCUUUCUUAUCUACUUAACUAACCAUUUGACACUGGCCACUGUCUAUAUGAUAUUGUAUUGCUGAAUUGAAGCUAUUGGCAUAUUCCAGUGGGUUUGUUAAAGAUGAUGUAGCUUAAAAACUGUUAGCUGAGGUAUGCAGCAUGUGAAAGGAAAAUACAUUAGUUUUAGAAAACAACUGUUAUCUUUGUGAACUAACACCUAGAAGGGGGAACCCCGCUCCCUGUCAAUUCCUGGCCCAGGUUAUCAAACUCAUAAUUACUACUAUCUGGAAGCAAAAAUUCCAGGAUCAGAAUAAUGUGAAAGAGAGUAAAAUAUGCUCUUAAAUUCACUUGGCAGGCAGCAGUAGUGCUCUAGAUGCAAAACUUGUAUAGUAGCUUGUAUUUGAGAAUCUGUAGCACCCAAAUGGUUUCAGAAGGUAGGGUGAGUGAGUAACUUUUAACGCACCUAAAAUGCAUCCACCUCUGCAGCAGAACGUGGUAGCUGCUCAGUAGCAUAGUGCAACACGACACCAGCAAAAAACUUAGAGUUUUGUGAGGGUACUAAACCUGGCAUCCACAGUUUAAUAAAAUUCAGCAAGUGAUCUUUAUUGCCCCUUAG
rnacentral:lncRNA from 1 species